AACCCAUGAUGAAGACACAUUUUUAGAAGAUUCUUAAAUCUCUCCCAUGUAUCAUACAAUGUCUCAAGCUCAAAUUCAGCAAAAGAAGAGAUGUCAUUCCUUAACUU
rfam:Gossypium raimondii Chr01_contig_1122, whole genome shotgun sequence.